rnacentral:rRNA from 1 species
GACGAACGCUUGCGGCGUGCUUAACACAUGCAAGUCGAACGGAAAGGCCCUGCUUUUGUGGGGUGCUCGAGUGGCGAACGGGUGAGUAACACGUGAGUAACCUGCCCUUGACUUUGGGAUAACUUCAGGAAACUGGGGCUAAUACCGGAUAGGAGCUCCUGCUGCAUGGUGGGGGUUGGAAAGUUUCGGCGGUUGGGGAUGGACUCGCGGCUUAUCAGCUUGUUGGUGGGGUAGUGGCUUACCAAGGCUUUGACGGGUAGCCGGCCUGAGAGGGUGACCGGCCACAUUGGGACUGAGAUACGGCCCAGACUCCUACGGGAGGCAGCAGUGGGGAAUAUUGCACAAUGGGCGGAAGCCUGAUGCAGCAACGCCGCGUGCGGGAUGACGGCCUUCGGGUUGUAAACCGCUUUCGCCUGUGACGAAGCGUGAGUGACGGUAAUGGGUAAAGAAGCACCGGCUAACUACGUGCCAGCAGCCGCGGUGAUACGUAGGGUGCGAGCGUUGUCCGGAUUUAUUGGGCGUAAAGGGCUCGUAGGUGGUUGAUCGCGUCGGAAGUGUAAUCUUGGGGCUUAACCCUGAGCGUGCUUUCGAUACGGGUUGACUUGAGGAAGGUAGGGGAGAAUGGAAUUCCUGGUGGAGCGGUGGAAUGCGCAGAUAUCAGGAGGAACACCAGUGGCGAAGGCGGUUCUCUGGGCCUUUCCUGACGCUGAGGAGCGAAAGCGUGGGGAGCGAACAGGCUUAGAUACCCUGGUAGUCCACGCUGUAAACGGUGGGUACUAGGUGUGGGGUCCAUUCCACGGGUUCCGUGCCGUAGCUAACGCUUUAAGUACCCCGCCUGGGGAGUACGGCCGCAAGGCUAAAACUCAAAGGAAUUGACGGGGCCCCGCACAAGCGGCGGAGCAUGCGGAUUAAUUCGAUGCAACGCGUAGAACCUUACCUGGGUUUGACAUGGAUCGGGAGUGCUCAGAGAUGGGUGUGCCUCUUUUGGGGUCGGUUCACAGGUGGUGCAUGGCUGUCGUCAGCUCGUGUCGUGAGAUGUUGGGUUAAGUCCCGCAACGAGCGCAACCCUUGUUCACUGUUGCCAGCACGUUAUGGUGGGGACUCAGUGGAGACCGCCGGGGUCAACUCGGAGGAAGGUGGGGAUGACGUCAAGUCAUCAUGCUCCUUAUGUCCAGGGCUUCACGCAUGCUACAAUGGCUGGUACAGAGAGUGGCGAGCCUGUGAGGGUGAGCGAAUCUCGGAAAGCCGGUCUCAGUUCGGAUUGGGGUCUGCAACUCGACCUCAUGAAGUCGGAGUCGCUAGUAAUCGCAGAUCAGCAACGCUGCGGUGAAUACGUUCCCGGG